CUUUUAUAAGCACUGACUAAUACAGUCAGACAUAGAAUGUGUAUGUUACAAAUGAAACAAUUUUUUUCUUUCAUUUUUGUUCUUGCAUGGAAUAGAAGAUUAUCAUUCAUAUCUUCAGGUCCUGUGGCAAGUCUUUAAGAAUUUCAGCUCUGUAGACCCUUAAGUUGCAAAAAUAUAGCUCCCGCCUCACAAACUGAAAUGACGUCAGUAAUACUUGACAGAGUAUUCAAGUUGCCAGGUGCCAAGGGAGCCUACAUAGGGGACUAGGAACAUCUUAAGGGUUCUUCUGAGAUUCAGAGGAAUGUAGAUGGUCCCAUGCUCUGUUUCUGUUACGUUCUCCAUUACUGCUGCUACAGCACUUCUCAACUGCUGCCUGAUAUUCAUUUUAUAAUUUAACUGAUUUUAUGAUAUUUAUUAUCUGCACCCAUUUUUCUAAGACCUUGGAAUGUAUCAGCUAAAUAAGUUAAUAAGACAUGCUGUAAGCUGGAAGAAAAUGAAGGAAAGGAAAGUAACAAGGUCAGGGGCAGCAGAUGGAUGGAUCCUCAUUGUUGUUGUAGAUGGAGAAAUACAAGGGAGUAGCUGGCAAGAAGCCCGGAAUCCAGAGGUUGGCACUCCUGUAUUAUUUCAUAGCAAGUCUCAAACGCUGACAUGAGGCAGAGGCCUCUGAUGGAUUCACAUAUCGAAGAAAAAGAACAUGAUUUUCCUGGCUUGGACCAGGCAUCUACUCCUGGAUGAACCAGCUAUGCUGUGAUCAGAGGAGAAGGACCACUGGCACCAACAGGCCUUGUGUAUCAGAGCCUCCCCAGAGAAGGGGGCUCACUGGAAGAGAAACAGUGGUGUGUUAGUUCCACCAUAUAAUGAAGAGGAGGCUAAUGCCAUUCAUUCUAUGAAUUGUUUCCUAUUAAUACUAUUUGGAAAAUAAUUAGGAACAGUUGCUAGAUGCUCUAAAAGAAAGCAUAUACAUUGCUAGCAAAUCAUGCCAGAAGUUUCUUCUUUGAUGUUUUUCUUAUGCUAUUUGCUCAAGCUUCUGACUUGAGCCUCAUCCAGUUAAUUUAGUUUGUUACACUGUUCUGAUGGCUGGGAAAAGGGGACAGGAAAGAAAGAGAUAGAAGAAUGUUUGUAAAUUUGCAUAUUUAAUCAAGAAAGGAUUCUUUUUAAUGAAUAGACAAAACCACCAAAAUUAGAAGUUUUAUUAUAACAUAAUUCCUUGCAUGUAUCUUGAGUAAGAAUGAAUAAGUUUUUGUCUGGUAUCUGUAUAAGCCAGUUAUAGCAUUUUAGAAUGUCACUUAUGAAAUAGAAAAUUUCCAUUUAUAUAAAAAUCUUUAUAUCCUGCUGAAGAAACUUUAAAAUGUCAAUUUCAUGCAGUACAUCUGGAGAAAAUCUGUCUAGGGCAUAACACCUUCACUGUUACACAGUGGUUAUAACUUAUCUCUGUAAAUAGUGACUAAAACUUUGUGGAGAUGCACUGUCUGUUGGGACAGUAGAUACUACUGUAUGUAGUAGUAGACAAUAGGUACAAGAGUUUCUGCAUCAUAGGUCCAUUUAGAUCAAUGAAUUUCCAUCGUAAUGCUGAUUGAAGGGUCCAUGGAGUUACAUUUUUAGUAACAAGAUUUUUUAGAAGACAUUAACAUGAUGUGGUAUGUUCAAACAUCACUUUCAUGAACUGUUCCUUCUUCUACAACAUACUUUGGUCACAGGACAAUGGAAUGCAUUAACCAUAGUACCUCAAUAAAUAUUUGCCGAAGGAAGUGUAAACGGAAGACAACAGAAAAGGAAAAAUUUAGAAUGGAU
rnacentral:lncRNA from 1 species